rnacentral:rRNA from 1 species
UUGCAGUUAAAAAGCUCGUAGUUGGAUUUCUGCGGGGGCGGGGCGGCCGGUUGCUUAUAGCAACUCGAGCUAGCACUUCCCCUGCAUCCUGCCGCGAACCGUGCUACCAUUAGUUUGGUGGCGCUGGGGAUCGGCUCGUUUACUUUGAGAAAAAUAGAGUGUUCAAAGCAGGCCACACGCCUUGAAUAAGUUAGCAUGGAAUAAUGAUAAAGGACUUCGGUUCUAUUUUGUUGGUGUUCGGGGCUGAAGUAAUGAUUGAUAGGGACAGUUGGGGCGGUCAGUAUUCCAAAGCGAGAGGUGAAAUUCUUAGACCUUCGGAAGACUAACAGCUGCGAAAGCGUUCCGCAAGGAUGUUCCCUUUGAUCAAGAACGAAAGUUGGGGGAUCGAAGACGAUCAGAUACCGUCGUAGUCUCAACUAUAAACUAUACCAGCUAGGGAUCGGCCGACGUUUACUUAUAUCGACUCGGUCGGCACCUUAUGAGAAAUCAAAGCAUCUGGGUUCCGGGGGGAGUAUGGUCGCAAGGCUGAAACUUAAAGGAAUUGACGGAAGGGCACCACCAGCCGUGGAGCCUGCGGCUUAAUUUGACUCACACGGGAAAACUUACCAGGUCCAGACAUAGUAAGGAUUGACAGAUUGAUAGCUC